ACGGGGCGUGUUCCCGAAAAGCCGGGAAGAGAUGUGGCGGGGCUGCCGCGGGCGUCUCUAAGGCCGGCACGGGUGGCGUCUUGACUCCCUGCCCCUCCAGCCGCGGACCUCGGACGGGGGGAAGGGGGCUCCUCCAAGCGGGGAGACGGUCGCCGGCCGAGCAGCAGGGCUCCUGGCCGGCGGAGGGUGCUAUGCUCUGCGGGACCGCCGGGAAGUCCCAGACAAGAAAUAUUACAACUCCACUGAUGAGAAAACUCACUUCGCUUUCAGUCAAAACCAGAAAUUAGAUAACAGAAAUGCCACACUGUCAACACCGACCGGGAGGAAAGCCUCGCUGGCGGAGACCGCUCAAGGGAGCCCUCCGCGCGUUCUCCCAGCCCGGGUCGCAGGUGGAGGGGGAGUGCCUCCUGCAGGGACGGUUCUCCCGCAGACACUCAAACUCCGGGAUGUAAAACCCCUGUUAAUAAUUGUCAGGGGUCUGUUAAUUGCCAAAUACAGUUUUUGAAAGUUGUAUGCACUAGGUAAAAUAAUUUAUGUAAUGUUUGGAAGUAUGUGAAAGACAGACAUUAGAUUGAUACAAAUUAAAAA
ensembl:lncRNA ZNF295-AS1 ZNF295 antisense RNA 1